AGUGAACGCUGGCGGUAGGCCUAACACAUGCAAGUCGAACGGCAGCACAGUAAGAGCUUGCUCUUACGGGUGGCGAGUGGCGUACGGGUGAGGAAUACAUCGGAAUCUACUUUUUCGUGGGGGUUAACGUAGGGAAACUUACGCUAAUACCGCAUACGACCUACGGGUGAAAGCAGUGGAUCUUCGGACCUUGCGCGAUUGAAUUAGCCGAUGUCGGAUUAGCUAGUUGGCGGGGUAAAGGCCCACCAAGGCGACGAUCCGUAGCUGGUCUGAGAGGAUGAUAAGCCACACUGGAACUGAGACACGGUCCAGAGUCCUACGGGAGGCAGCAGUGGGGAAUAUUGGACAAUGGGCGCAAGCAUGAUACAGCCAUACCGCGUGGGUGAAGAAGGCCUUCGGGUUGUAAAGCCCUUUUGUUGGGAAAGAAAAGCAGCAGGUUAAUACCCAGCUGUUCUGACGGUACCCAAAGAAUAAGCACCGGCUAACUUCGUG
rnacentral:rRNA from 1 species